CCUAGCAUUUCCCUCUAUAACUUCUUAUUGCUUGGCCUAUUAAUAAUAUGGUGAAAAGGUUAAAUCGCGAAAUUGCAAAUGUCUUUAAUUUUAUGAAUAUUUUUUAAUUAAUUAUUUUUUUUUGUUUUAGUACUUAGUUUUAUUCCUAGUGUUACCAAAUAUUUAAAAUCUUUAAGACUGUUGUCAUUUGUGAUAAUAUAUAUGUAUGUAUGUUAGAAAUAAUGUAUAAUCAUUACAUUACCCAUAGAUGGAGUUUUAUAAACCUCAGCUAUACAUUUUUGAGAUGUAAAGAUUUUUCCCAUAGGACCAUGCCCGAAAUCGCGACAGAAAAUGGGUAGUCGUACAUUAGAAGUUGGGCUAUGCAGAUGUGGAUGUUUAUUAUUGUAAUUUUUUUUUAAAUUCGGGGUUGGCCUAGUAGAAAUUGUUUAAACCCAGUUGUACAGUCAACAUUAAUAAUAGCGGAUGAAAUAAUGCACCUAAAGUAUCUGCCACUCUGAAAUAGGUACUUUUCCAAAUAGAGAUAUUCGUACUUAUAUCUCUAGUAGGUAUAUUCACGGUCAAAAUUAUCUCUCACAAUCUAAAUGUUCUACAGUCAGCAGCAAAAGUUGCUAAACGGGCGAGGUGUUCAAAAUUACCUUGACACGCUCUUAUUCUCUUAACAAUAAAGUCGCGUCAAGAUCAAUUUGAACACCUGGCCCGCUUAGCAACUUCUGCUGCUAACUGUACAUGUUUUAGUUACGUUAUUAAAAUGGCAGAUACUUUGACGCGUAGUCAGAUACGCUAUUUUUGAUGCUGACUGAUUGAAAAAAAAACGCCCUGUAUAUAGUAUACUCGUGGCUUGCUUGGGGUAUGUCCAUAAAAUACUCCUAUAUUUUUUAUAUAAUAAUAUCUAUAGUAAGAUUUUUAACUAAAUUCAUUACAAGUAUAAAGUAUGGAUACUAAGCGCGAAUAAUUUCGUACAUUGACCCUCCAUUUCCUAUCUCUGUCGCACGCGCGUAAUUAUAUUGCUGUCGCUCUCACAGCUACAUUAGCUGAAAAUAUAUUUUAUUUAUUUCACUUUUAACUAAGUUUACUUUAUUUAAGUUAACUAAGUUUAUUUUAGCAGACCGUGUUAAUACGCUGCCAUGUUGAAUAAACACAAAAAAAAACUGAAAUCCCAAUCCGAAAUAAAGAAUUGGCACUAUAGCAAAAGAUUAGCCAUUCAAAUCAAAUGCAGUUUGAGGGAUGGACAGACAACAUCUAAACCAAUUAUGAGCGUAGAUAAUCUGAAUUGUUUGACAGAGGGGCCGCGUGUUUCUGAUAGAAUUCCAUUAUAGAGUAAGUAGGGUGCAGACUCAGAACUAGUGUAAUGCACAAAUCUCUACUGAGCCUAGCCAAGAUGGCAAUUGUACAACAAACGCUAAACAAAAGAAAAAAUGUACCUAUACUUGGUCAAGCAAAUCUUGUCAGUAGCAACACUUCGAAUAAUUUCAAAAUCGAGUGUCAUCUGUGUUUUAUCUGUGUAAUUUGGAUCAUGACAUCAUUUGUUGUUUGCAUUCUGAAUCGUUGCUAUUUCAAGACAAAAGUCAAGGUGCAAUAGGGAUGUUUCCUGUACUUAAAAUAAAUUAUUUUAAACCGUGCACGAAAUAAAGCACCAGAUGAUUAUUAGAAAAAUGUAGAUAGCAGCUAUUUUUAAACACAAUUUGUAUUUAAUAAAUAGGAUUGAAAUAUAAAAAGUAGGUGAGUUUACCGUGACGUCACUACAUUAGUUUUCAUAUAAAUUCCAUAUUAGCAAAUCGUUUUGACAGUUUUAAAAAAGAAGCUGAUUUGACUAGUAGGAAUGUAGCCUAUGCAAUUACAAUGAUGCCCGUUGAUCGUAAAUAUCUGUAAAAUUGGAGGUUAUGAUAAUUACAUGUUUUGAUUCGAUGUACAUUGCUGCUUUUCUUAGCGCAUUACUGCUCUUUGAGUGUUGCCCUGCUUGACUUUGCUGUACAAUGCUACUGACAUACUUUGCUUGACAGAUGCUACGAAAAAUCACGUGACUUUUACCAUAUUAUUUAAGUUUCAGUUGGCGUUUUCUAUUAACGAUUGUCACUCGGCUAUGCCCCGUAAUGUGGCGUAAAAAAGUGUCCAAAUUUCCGAAAUAACCACUUGGAAUAAUUUCGGAAGUUUCUCAUAUGGAGAACAAAAAUCUACACUUUGAAAAUGGAAGCUUUUUUAAAUUUAUUUCUAUUGUUUUUGUACCUAGUUUUCAAGCAAAACGGUAUGCAUUGCGAGUUGAUAAGUUAUUAACGGUAAAUAUACAAUUAUAAAUCAACCUCAUCGACUAUCGAUAAUGUACCUUUUGAUUGAAAACGUCACAUUUUAGUUUAAAUAAUGGUUGUUAUUCAGUGGUACUAUCUCUGUUAUUCGCUAUAUAAUUUAAACGCAUGUACUUUAUAUUGUUGACUGUUACAAAACGUUAAAUAUGGGUACAUUCAACCUAACCUACCAUUCGAAUAUUGUCCGGCCCAGAUUUUUAUUAUUUCUCUAAGUUUGUGUGUUGAAGUAAUGAUUUUUUAUCAACCAAUUGAUGCUUUACUUUUCAUUAUGACCUACUUAAAUGUAACAAAUGUAUGAAAAAAAAAGGAAAUUGAAUGUUCCCAUAUCUUUACAGUUGUGUAUACCUAAGUUUUAUUUACCGUUCAUCUACUAGAUAGGCUAUUUCAAACUCAAUUGCUAAUUCAAUAAAUUAUUUUCCUAUAA